rfam:Aedes aegypti strain Liverpool supercont1.258 genomic scaffold, whole genome shotgun sequence.
GGGUCCGUAGCCUUGAGGUAACGCUUUCGCUUCAUAAGCGGAAAGACAUGGGUUCGAUUCCCAGCCCCUCCA